rnacentral:rRNA from 1 species
AGAGUUUGAUCAUGGCUCAGGACAAACGCUGGCGGCGUGCCUAACACAUGCAAGUCGAGCGCGGAAGGAGCUUCGGCUCCUCGUAAAGCGGCGAACGGGUGAGUAACACGUGGGCAACCUGCCUCAAGGACUGGGAUAACUCCGGGAAACCGGGGCUAAUACCGGACGAUGUCGUCCCGCAUAAGCGGGUCGACCAAAGGUAGCUUCGGCCUCCGCCUUGAGAUGGGCCCGCGUCCUAUCAGCUUGUUGGUGAGGUAACGGCUCACCAAGGCUACGACGGGUAGCUGGUCUGAGAGGAUGAUCAGCCACACUGGGACUGAGAUACGGCCCAGACUCCUACGGGAGGCAGCAGUGGGGAAUCUUGCGCAAUGGGCGAAAGCCUGACGCAGCAACGCCGCGUGAGCGAAGAAGGCCUUCGGGUUGUAAAGCUCUGUCAGGGGGAAAGAAGGCACCUGGGUUAAUAGCCCAAGGGCUGACGGUACCUCCAAAGGAAGCCACGGCUAACUACGUGCCAGCAGCCGCGGUAAUACGUAGGUGGCGAGCGUUGUCCGGAAUCAUUGGGCGUAAAGAGCGCGUAGGUGGCUUGUCAGGUCCGACGUGAAAACCUGGGGCUCAACUCCAGGCCUGCAUCGGAAACCGGCUUGCUAGAGUCUGGGAGAGGAGAGUGGAAUUCCUGGUGUAGCGGUGAAAUGCGUAGAUAUCAGGAGGAACACCGGUAGCGAAGGCGGCUCUCUGGAACAGUACUGACGCUGAGGCGCGAAAGCUAGGGGAGCGAACA